rnacentral:rRNA from 1 species
AACGAACGCUGGCGGCAUGCCUAACACAUGCAAGUCGAACGAGACCUUCGGGUCUAGUGGCGCACGGGUGCGUAACGCGUGGGAACCUGCCCUUAGGUUCGGAAUAACUCCCCGAAAGGGGUGCUAAUACCGGAUAAUGUCUUCGGACCAAAGAUUUAUCGCCUUUGGAUGGGCCCGCGUUGGAUUAGCUAGUUGGUAGGGUAAAAGCCUACCAAGGCGACGAUCCAUAGCUGGUCUGAGAGGAUGAUCCGCCACACUGGGACUGAGACACGGCCCAGACUCCUACGGGAGGCAGCAGUGGGGAAUAGUGGACAAUGGGCGAAAGCCUGAUCCAUCAAUGCCGCGUGAGUGAUGAAGGCCUUAGGGUUGUAAAGCUCUUUUACCCGGGAUGAUAAUGACAGUACCGGGAGAAUAAGCUCCGGCUAACUACGUG